GGGUCAGAUAACGGUCCCGCUUUCGCCUCCCAGGCGCAUCUCCAGGCUCUCAGAGCAGUGAGAGAGUACAUCUGGAAACCGCUUGCAGAGGCCUACAAGGACAAAGACAUUCCACCGUGCCCUCACCCGUUCAAGGAAGGAGAC